rnacentral:rRNA from 1 species
UACGUAGGGGGCAAGCGUUGUCCGGAUUUAUUGGGCGUAAAGAGCGUGUAGGCGGCCAGACAAGUCUGCUGUGAAAACUCGAGGCUCAACCUCGAGCUGUCGGUGGAAACUGUCUGGCUAGAGUCCGGAAGAGGAGAGUGGAAUUCCUGGUGUAGCGGUGAAAUGCGUAGAUAUCAGGAGGAACACCGGUGGUGUAGACGGCUCUCUGGACCGUAACUGACGCUGAGACACGAAAGCGUGGGUAGCAAACAGG